AGAGUUUGAUCCUGGCUCAGGAUGAACGCCGGCGGUGUGCCUAAUACAUGCAAGUCGAACGCGUUGGCCCAACUGAUUGGACGUGCUUGCACGGACUUGACGUUGGUUUACCAGCGAGUGGCGGACGGGUGAGUAACACGUAGGUAACCUGCCCCAAAGCGGGGGAUAACAUUUGGAAACAGAUGCUAAUACCGCAUAACAAUUUGAAUCGCAUGAUUCAAAUUUAAAAGAUGGCUUCGGCUAUCACUUUGGGAUGGACCUGCGGCGCAUUAGCUUGUUGGUAGGGUAACGGCCUACCAAGGCUGUGAUGCGUAGCCGAGUUGAGAGACUGAUCGGCCACAAUGGAACUGAGACACGGUCCAUACUCCUACGGGAGGCAGCAGUAGGGAAUCUUCCACAAUGGGCGCAAGCCUGAUGGAGCAACACCGCGUGAGUGAAGAAGGGUUUCGGCUCGUAAAGCUCUGUUGUUAGAGAAGAACGUGCGUGAGAGUAACUGUUCACGCAGUGACGGUAUCUAACCAGAAAGUCACGGCUAACUACGUGCCAGCAGCCGCGGUAAUACGUAGGUGGCAAGCGUUAUCCGGAUUUAUUGGGCGUAAAGCGAGCGCAGGCGGUUUGAUAAGUCUGAUGUGAAAGCCUUUGGCUUAACCAAAGAAGUGCAUCGGAAACUGUCAGACUUGAGUGCAGAAGAGGACAGUGGAACUCCAUGUGUAGCGGUGGAAUGCGUAGAUAUAUGGAAGAACACCAGUGGCGAAGGCGGCUGUCUGGUCUGCAACUGACGCUGAGGCUCGAAAGCAUGGGUAGCGAACAGGAUUAGAUACCCUGGUAGUCCAUGCCGUAAACGAUGAGUGCUAGGUGUUGGAGGGUUUCCGCCCUUCAGUGCCGCAGCUAACGCAUUAAGCACUCCGCCUGGGGAGUACGACCGCAAGGUUGAAACUCAAAGGAAUUGACGGGGGCCCGCACAA
rnacentral:rRNA from 1 species